rnacentral:rRNA from 1 species
UACGUAGGGUGCGAGCGUUAAUCGGAAUUACUGGGCGUAAAGCGUGCGCAGGCGGUUCGUUAAGUCAGAUGUGAAAGCCCCGAGCUCAACUUGGGAACUGCAUUUGAAACUGGCGGGCUGGAGUGUGGCAGAGGGGGGUGGAAUUCCACGUGUAGCAGUGAAAUGCGUAGAGAUGUGGAGGAACACCGAUGGCGAAGGCAGCCCCCUGGGCCAACACUGACGCUUAGGCACGAAAGCGUGGGGAGCAAACAGG